UUCUCUCGUAUUCUUUCUCUUUCUUAUUCUUCGUUCUACUUUUAUGUUCUUCUUCUUCUUUUCUUCUGUUGUUUUGAGAGUCGAUGGUGAGGUUCGAUUUGAGAGUUCAAAACAGAAUUUUUGUGUUCAUUAGAAGGUGGAAAAUAUCAUGGGAUAGUUUAUGGUGGUACUGUGAUUGUCUAUAGUUGAUUAUUAUUCGAGGAAAGAGGUGAAUUAGAGAAUGAAAAUUUAGGGUUUCUGAGAGAUGGAUUCGACUGAAGAUUUAUGUGAUACUGAGGAUGAUAUUAAGUUAUUGGUGAUGGGUAAUUUGAUUUGAUAGCAAGGAAGAAGAAUUAACAAUUGAUUUUCAAUUCAGAGUGAAUAAUCGAGGAAUUAGGGUUUUGAGAUUGAUGAGUGCAUGUUGAAAUUGAUAAGUGAUUUGCGUUGUUGUUAGAUGGAGAUCGAAAGGGUUAUUGUUUAAUUGAAGCUCUAGUGUUGAUUCAUGGUUAAACAAACUUAGGGUUUGAGACUGGGUUCUGACCAUGGAAGGAUAGAGUAAUUAAAGUUGGAUUUGAGUGAUUAGUGAUGAAGAACAAAAGGGUUGAUGUUGAUUUGUUGAUGUGAAGCUGUUCUUAUGAAGAAUUGGGUUACUGUUCUUGGUUUGAAUUAGAGAAGUCAUGAGUUGGGUAUUAAGUUAGGGCUCAUUGGGGAAAUUAUGCAGGCGAUGAAGAUUGGUGAAUACUGAUUGAGUGGAACUAAUAUACUGAAUUGAAGUAGAGAAGAAUUCAAUCCUAGACUGCCUGAGGAAGAUGCUAGUUUGAGUUCAAGGUAAAGAAGAAUGAGUUUCCUUGGUUUCAGUGGAACCAUUUGAGGGAUAAAGUUAUAAAGAAUACAACUGUUGUAGUGUGUUGGUGGUUGAAUGGUGGUGUUGUUAGCAUGUACAGGGCAGCUAGAGGAGUAAUCUGGUGGUGAUUAUGAUAUUGAGCUUAAUGGAGAUCAGCCAUGAGUCUUUGGUGGUGAUUGUAUGGUUAUAUGAAUGGAUGUACAAUGUUGUUGUAGUUGAAGUUACAAGUGAUGGUGUUACUUCUGAGAUGAUAAUAAUGAAGUGGCAGAAAUAGGAAUGAGGUGUGUAUUGCAGUUAUGGGUGUUGUUCAAGUAUGGAAUUACAGGUAAUUGUAGAGUUAUGUUGUGUGACAAUUGUAGCUAAUAAAAUUGUGCUUUGAACUAAAAAUAUUGCAAGAGAUGGAUACAACUUAGGAUAUUUGUAAUGGUAGAUGAGUAGCUUGAAGAUAUUCUCAAUUGAAGCUUGCUUCUGCUACCUAAAGGUAAGCUAAGUUUGUAUUUGUAUUCAAUUAUGAAGUCUUGAUGGAUUCAAUGUAUUGUUGUAAUGUUGAAAGAUAGUAUUUGAACUGUGAAUUUCACAUAA